GUUCUAAAUUAACAGUUCUGCUUUGCAUUUCUAUACAAAACCUUAUGCAUUUUUGUGCCUUCGAGAUGCACAUUGCAGCCCCUCUGAUUUUUUCUGUGACAUGCUUGCCAUGCUUGCUAUUCUUGCUGUGCUUACUGAAAUUUCCAUGCUUGCUAUAUUUUUAUUUGCUGUGCUUUCAGUGCCUGGCCCUAUAUUCUGCUAUUAUCACCAUAACUUUCAAAAUAUUUAAUUAAACAGAUAAUACAGUUUUAAGCAUUGGUAUGCAGAAUAUAAUCUCAUUUCCUAAACCAUUUAACCACAUUAACAAGAUAUUUCAAGAUAUAACAACUAAAUCCUCAGACUCUGUAAAUGCUACGGUGGGCGUUCUUUAUUUAGUCUUGGGGUGUCCAAAUCGGUUCCUUAUGGUCCACUGUCCUGCAGAGUUUGGUUUUUUGAAAAGUUUUAUUCCUAGUAUAGAAUUCCUAAAUGGAAUAGUUAACAUUAGCCUCUGCAUCACAAGUGACAUAAUCCAAAUAGGAAAAACAUUUCAGAAGUUGUUUCUUGUUAAACCUAAAUCAAAUACUAUAAUUUUUCAUUUCAUUAUGAUUUUAAUGGCUUAAAAGAUUGAUAGCUAACAUCUUAGCUUCUGUGAUGAGCUCUCAAGGUUUGUUGGGUUUUGGUGUGUGCCUUUUGAAGACAUGCAACUGCCCCGGGGUGAAUAGAGAUAGAAUGACAGAAAUGGAAGGAGGUAAAAUAGAGGCACGGAGGAAGAAGAAGCUAAUGCAUGGAGUGUACUCAGCUAUUAAACUUGAUGCUGAUGGUACCCUAGGCUUUAAUAACACACACACAAACCAAACACACAGUCACACAUUUUCCUCUAGUGCACCUUGUCCUCAGGAAAGUCUUCAUCAGGGACAUUAUUUUUAUGGCCUCUGAAUGGACAUUGUGUAGCAAUGUAAUCAGAUGACCAGCCCCCAAGCUAAGGCACAUAUAGAAAGAAAUAGAAAAGGAGAGAGAGAGAGAACAAGAGAAGAGAAGGGAUGGAAAGGGAGCGAGAGAGAAGACUGAAGGGAGGGAGGCGAAUCUGUGAGGUGAGGAUUCUGCCUUACAUCACUGAGCAUGUCUUUGUGAGGAUACGAUUGCUACUGUUCUAACUCGUUUUUUAAAGGUCUGUUUUGUGUUGUUUUAAGCAGAACAGUGCUGCACAACUGCGUGUCUGUCCUCAGUGAGUGUACACUGAAAUAACAACAGGUUUUUUCAAGAUAACCAGUAGCGUUGAUUACAUUAUCUAGAGACACAGCUGAUUUCCCUCCUCAAGUCGAGACAUGGAGAGAACAGAGAACAAAGUGUCCACCAUCUCCCCGCAAAAACAGACAGUAAAAAAUAGAUCCAAGUCCACAGAGGAGGUACAGCAAGCCAAAAAGGCCUUUCAUACACCACAAAAAUCUCUUCCGGCUAAAUCAGAAACCGAACAACUAGAGGAAACCUCAGAACUGAGUGCCUCAUCAGAGGAGUUCAAAUGAUUGCUGGAUUCAAACUUUGGGGCUUUGAGAUUUAGACAGAUCAACUGGAAUUAUGGGUAAUGACAAGAGGAUGAUUCAGUGUCUCCAUUUAUAAAAUAGUGACUCAGUUCUACUUAGUUUAGUUAUAAUAGAAGAAAACAAUAAUCAUGUGUAGCUUCUUGAAUUUGUAAGAGUCUGAUCAUGUUUGUGAAAUAAAUGCAUAACUGGA